rnacentral:lncRNA from 1 species
CUUGAAAUUUGCAGUCAGAUGCAUGGAACGAGAAAAGGUCAUCCUGAGUGAUGUAAACCAGAUCCAGAAAUACAAACAUGUUUCCACAUAUUUGAUGCCAGCAUGGUCCUGCUAAACAAGUCUGCCAAUCACCAAAUAAGAGGUUUCACUUUAGCUACAAUAGCAUGCAUAAUGUGCAAUACCUCUAUGGCCCUUCCAGAAUGGCGAAAUUGCUACUUGAACAACUCCAUGCUUUCCUACCCAAGUCUGGCUUUUGUGAAUAUUUGGGAGGCCUACAUCUGCCACCACAACCACAACUCAAGCCACCUGAGAGAUUGCCAUUACUACACCUGCCA